rnacentral:rRNA from 1 species
UACGAAGGGGGCUAGCGUUGCUCGGAAUCACUGGGCGUAAAGCGCACGUAGGCGGCUUUCUAAGUCAGGGGUGAAAUCCUGGAGCUCAACUCCAGAACUGCCUUUGAUACUGGAGAGCUUGAGUCCGGGAGAGGUGAGUGGAACUCCGAGUGUAGAGGUGAAAUUCGUAGAUAUUCGGAAGAACACCAGUGGCGAAGGCGGCUCACUGGCCCGUUACUGACGCUGAGGUGCGAAAGCGUGGGGAGCAAACCGG